rnacentral:lncRNA from 1 species
GCCCGUCAAUUUUCUUAUCAAAUGCUCAGCACGCAUGCUGAGCUAUCAUGGUUAAUAUAUUUUUCCUUUUCCAAAAAUAGGAGGUAAGUUUAAUUAGCAGUUAGAAACAAGUCCUUAAUUAGUAAAAGGCAUUUUGAUUAUGAAUUAAAUUUAUCUUUUGACAAUAGAAUAAAAAAAUGUUGGGGACCAUUUAUUCACGUAGAGAAAAGUUGGGGUUGAUGCUUUAUCG